UACAGGGGGGGCAAGCGUUGUUCGGAGUUACUGGGCGUAAAGCGUGCGUAGGCGGUGUCUUAAGUUUGUUGUGAAAUCUCCCGGCUUAACCGGGAGGGUGCGGCGAAUACUGAGAUGCUGGAGUGCCGGAGAGGUAAGCGGAAUUCCUGGUGUAGCGGUGAAAUGCGUAGAUAUCAGGAGGAACACCUGCGGUGUAGACGGCUUACUGGACGGUAACUGACGCUGAGGCACGAAAGCGUGGGUAGCAAACAGG
rnacentral:rRNA from 1 species